CUCAACAGUCUGGGACCAGGUAUCUCAAUUGAUUGUUGCAGAUUUGAGUCAUGUAGAAGCCCUCGAUUAGGAACCUAAAUGCUGGAGCCGCAGCUCCUCCCAUCUCUGGCACUAACUGCGGGAGCUUGGAUAGUGGUUUUCCCCUCCGCAGCCGAGCCUCAUGUCCUCAUCUGUAAAUAAUGGGGAUGAACUUGGAUGUCUGAGGUCCCCUCCUGCACUAACAAUAAUCAAGAUUCACCUUAUGAAGCAGAAUGGCUAACGCCAACUCAAACUAUUUCUGCAAAGAGUUGCUGGGGACAAAGUGGAGAUGUGGGUAGGCUCCUCGAGCUGGCUCUCAGAAGCAGGCUACUGUUUUGGACCUGGAAACUGCUAUUCACUAGAAGUCAGUCCCGCCUCUAACACUAUGUAAUGUGUGAGCAAAUUUCUGAGCCUCAGUUUCCCCAUCAGU